CACCAUGCUACCUCUUUAGAUCGAGCCCGGCCAGAAAGCUAACCGUAACGGGGUCUAGGAGGAAGCUCUAAGGCGAGGCUGGACUUGUCUUGAAGACUCUCCAAAAGAAGAUGCUAACUUGGGGUGCUUAAUCAUUGACCAUUGUCUUACCUUCAGUCUCAACUGGUGUUUCUGUGACGACAGAAGAAAACUCCCUGAAGAUUUUGCUGGAAUUCUCCAAAGACUUCCAUUGCUCCUCAAUGACUUCAGCUCCAGCAGAAUA